ACCAGACUCCUACGGGAGGCAGCAGUGGGGAAUAUUGCACAAUGGGGGAAACCCUGAUGCAGCAACGCCGCGUGAGUGAAGAAGUAUUUCGGUAUGUAAAGCUCUAUCAGCAGGGAAGAAAAUGACGGUACCUGAGUAAGAAGCCCCGGCUAACUACGUGCCAGCAGCCGCGGUAAUACGUAGGGGGCAAGCGUUAUCCGGAUUUACUGGGUGUAAAGGGAGCGUAGACGGCGAUACAAGUCUGAAGUGAAAGCCCGGGGCUCAACCCCGGGACUGCUUUGGAAACUGUGUUGCUGGAGUGCUGGAGAGGCAGGCGGAAUUUCUAGUGUAGCGGUGAAAUGCGUAGAUAUCAGGAGGAACACCGGCGGCGAAGGCGGCCUGCUGGACCGAAACUGACGUUGAGGCUCGAAAGCGUGGGGAGCAAACAGGAUUAGAUACCCCUGUA
rnacentral:rRNA from 1 species